rnacentral:lncRNA from 1 species
GAAAGUUUGCUGUAUUUUUAACACGAAAUUUAAACAUUAUUUUUAACAUUAAAUUUAAAAUGUUUUAGAGAAAGCCUGAAUACAAUUCAUGGAGAGGCUGAUAGAGCCACAGUUCCUAAUGCAAUAAUACGAAAUCUCAAAGAGCAACUUGCAACAGUUUUUGCCAAUUACUCGUGGGCGUGCGUCAGACGAAGUCUUAAUCAGAGCGGCCUAGAUAGGAAGAAAAAACGAAAGUAAUCAGCAAUGCAAUUGUGAUUCUGUAAUAAUGAUAAUAUGUGAAAAAUUUCUUUUAUACAGAA